rnacentral:rRNA from 1 species
UUCCUGACGCUGAGGAGCGAAAGCUAGGGCAGCAAACAGGAUUAGAUACCCUGGUAGUCCUAGCCGUAAACGAUGGGCACUACGUAGAGGGGGCUCCGAUGUCUUCUCUGCGGGAGCUAACGCAUUAAGUGCCCCGCCUGGGGAGUAUGACCGCAAGGUUAAAACUCAAAGGAAUUGACGGGGGCUCACACAAGCGGUGGAGGAUGUUGUUCAAUUCGAAGCAACGCGAAGAACCUUACCCGGGCUUGACAGCCUGGUAGUACGAACCCGAAAGGAUUAGGAGCUUCAGCAAUGGAGCAGCCAGGUACAGGUGUUGCAUGGCUGUCGUCAGCUCGUGUCGUGAGAUGUCGGGUUAAGUCCCAUAACGAGCGAAACCCUUGUCGCUAGUUGCCAGCGGGUUAUGCCGGGGACUCUAGCGAGACUGCCGGUGUUAAGCCGGAGGAAGGUGGGGAUGACGUCAAGUCCUCAUGGCCCUUAUGCCCGGGGCUACAAACGUCCUACAAUGGUCGGUACAAAGAGAAGCAAUACCGUGAGGUGGAGCAAAUCUCAAAAGCCGGCCCCAGUUCGGAUUGAGGGCUGCAAUUCGCCCUCAUGAAGCCGGAAUCGCUAGUAAUCGCGCAUCAGCCACGGCGCGGUGAAUAUGUUCCUGAGCCUUGUACACACCGCCCGUCAAGCCACGAGAGUCGGUAGUACCCGAAGUCGCUGACCCAACCGCAAGGAGGGAGGCGCCGAAGGUAAGACCGAUGAUUGGGACUAAGUCGUAACAAGGUA